GGGAGGGAUUUCAGACAGGGUUUCUCUGUCCUGGAACUUGCUCUGUAGACCAGACUGACUUCAAACUCAGAGAUCCACCUGUCCGUCUCCUGAGUGCUGGGAUUAAAAGCUGUGUGCCACCACCUCCUGGCUACUACUAGUCUUUUAAAGAAAGUUAUUUUCAUGUUUUCAGGCUUUUGGCCCCAAACACCAUUAUCCCAUCUUCGGGUGUAAAACAACUAUAUAGUUUAGUUCAUUGUGUCAGACAACCCACUCAGCCACUCUCUCAUUUACACUUCCUCACUCAGCAUCUUUACUCUGAUUUUUAUAGACAGAGGAGAGCAGAAUUUGAACCAUAAAUGAUGCAGCUGCCCCACCCCGCCCCGCCUCGCCCUCUGCUGGUCAAAAGGUGGCGUUGCUGGCUCACCGUUGUUUGUGUAGAACUGUCCUGCAACGUCCAUUCCACCCCAUUUCCUUGUAUGGGUAAGCAUACACAAGUGGAGAACAGCUAAAUUUAAACUCAUCCAUGUCCCUGUUGCUGCCUCCAAAUUUGCAGCCGUUUUUACCUUAUUUUGUGUCCUUGGAUACUUGUAUUGUCCAGCUUUCAAAAUAGCAUCAUCAUAUAGAUGAACUUCAGAUAUAGCAACUUGUCAGGAUUGGUCAUUUGAAAAUGACAAAUAUUUGGUAUUCAGAUUUUUCUGUGCUUUUUAGUGACUGCAUAUUCUUUCCUAUUUUCCAAUUUCAAAGUGGACCUCGGGCUAGAGAGAUAGAUGGUUCAUUGCAGAUGGUUCCAUCCCAGCACUCACAUGGUGGCUCACAAGUGUCUUCAAAGCCAAUUCUGGGGAUCCAGUGCUCUCCAAAGACACAGGCCUACAUUAAGGUAAAACACCCAGACACAUAAUGAUAAUAAUAGAAGAAAAAGUAAAAUGUAACACCAAGAGUGAGAUCACUUUGUAGCCUUGGCUGACCUGGAAGGUACCCUAUAGACCAGGCCAGGCUGAUCUUGAACUCCCAAGAGAUCUGCCUGUCUCUGCAUCUCAAGGGCUGAGAUGAAAAGCCUUCACCACCAUACCCUAAGUUGAUCACUUCUUUAGGGUGAUGUCUAAGCACUCUGAUGAGGUACUGGACUGAGCUCCAUUCUAUACUUCGUGUCCGUGUGUGUGUGUGUGUGUGUGUGUGUGUGUGUGUGUGUGUGUGUGUGUGUUGGGAGGGGAUGUUUGUCUAUAUUAGCUACUCUAAUGUAGACCCUGGAACUGCCUUAUCCUCUCCCCUCCCCCUACGACAGGGAGGCCUUCCCAGGGGCGGCUGCUUUUGCUGCCUGAGCCUGCUGAACUCCUGCUGCAGCUGAGCCAUAGUUUCCGUCUGCUGCUGUAGCAGCAAGCUGGGAUUUGUAGCACUUGGUUUCCACUGUGAUACAGUCUAGCCUUUUCUCCCAAGGUGGCCUGAGCCUCUCCCAGCUCAUGUGAGACAAGCACAGGACACAGAAGCUUAAAGACCAUGCUGGAAACACCCAGCAAGACUGGUUCCCUUAUCUUCUGAUGGCGGCGCCUCCAGCCUCAGCCUCCCUGACAUGGGUUUGCUCAAGUCCCUUCCACAGUGUUGUUUCUCCACCUCUCCCUGCAGCUGCUUUUGGAUCAGCUCUGUCAUGACAGCUGACAGCCUCCUGGGGGUGGAUCGCUGGGCUUCAAGCUCUGGAAGGCACCGAGCUCCCCAUAUUGGCCCUGCAGGAAGGACAGAACUUCUAUGCAGCCCUUUGAGCACCACAGCCUCUCCUCAUCCAGAAGAGCCACUCCCUAGGAAGACCCCAGAUCCUCCAUCCCAAACACUCUCACUUAUUGGUUGAAAAGUAGUAUCCCCUGGAGCAUGCAGCUGGGGAGCCCUGCUUCACAGUCAUCACCCUGGGGAGCCAACUAUUCAUCGCCCUGUGCUCUCAGAGCUUCUGGAAGGAUCCAUAAAUCACUCACAUGUCAAUUGUGCACUUAGUAAAAAAAAAUUUUUUCCUCCGAGACAGGGUUUCUCUGUGGCUGUGGAGGCUGUCCUGGAACUCGCUUUGUAGACCAGGCUGGCCUCGAACUCACAGAGUUCCGCCUGCCUCUGCCUCCCGAGUGCUGGGAUUAAAGGCGUGUGUCACUGCUGCCCUGCUGUACUUAGUAAUUUUUACCUGGACAGAAUUUUCACUCUGCCCUUAGUUGACGAAUUGUGAGUAGGUUGCUGCAAGCACCUCUGAAGGUCCUGCUAGUUGCCACAAUGCAGCCUGCCCUUAAAGAGAAAGGCAGAGAGUGGCUUUAAAGGGCUAGUGUAGAGAUGAGUCCUGGGAAGCAGAACUACCAGAUAGCCGAGGGGCUGUCCUAAAAUGUGUGUCACAUGCAGUUGAGACAGAUGUAUGUAUUUAGCAGGCCCAUUCCCUGGAGGUUCCAAGAGCUGGAGACACAGAUCAGCAACCCUAAGAGGCAUGGAGAGGGUGGAGCAUAGUCAAUUUUGUGAGAAGCAAUCAGUGACCAUCCAAAAAAUUCCACUGUGAAAAAUGACACCAAGGGCUAAAGAGAUGGCCUGGUGGGUAAGAGCACUUGCUACUCUUGGAGAGGACCAGAGUUCAAUUCUCUGCAGUCGUUUCAGGCAACUCAGGAGCUCCCUGUAACUCCAGCUCCAG
rnacentral:lncRNA from 1 species